GCUACCGGAUAAAUAAUAAAUAUGGUGAUGAGUUGAUUUGGGGUGGUACUAUGUUUGAAGAUACGCAUAGUACGUUCCGAAUCAACUUGUUAACAAAUUUAAAUUCGAUAAUUAAAUUC
rnacentral:precursor_RNA from 15 species